rnacentral:rRNA from 1 species
GACAGAGGUCCCGAGCGUUAGGCGGAAUCACUGGGCUUAAAGCGUGUGUAGGCGGAUUGGUAAGUACCUUGUGAAAUCCCACGGCUCAACCGUGGAACUGCUUGGUAUACUGCUUAUCUUGGGCCACUUAGGGGCUACCGGAACAAACGGUGGAGCGGUGAAAUGCGUAGAUAUCGUUUGGAACGCCAAUGGUGAAAACAGGUAGCUGGGAGUGUGCCGACGCUGAGACACGAAGCCAGGGGAGCGAACGGG